rnacentral:lncRNA from 1 species
ACAUCAGCACCCCCCACCUCCUGCAGCUUAUUCUAGCCAGUCUGUCACCUCUCCCGUUUCACGCCAUCUGUCACCCAAGCAGGUGCCUCUGCGAGGACUGUGUGUUCUGGUUUUAGCACAUUGCUGGUAUUCAGGACACAGAACAUGGGGCCUCAUGGCUUCACCUGCGGAUGCUGAGAUGUUAGCUGGGUGUCACAAGACCAAGGAGAGAAAACAAGCCCUUCACACCCUAAAUCUGUCUGAAACCAGGAAGCAACCAAGGCCAUGGCUUCCAUCUAAGGCUUCAGCCACAAAGUCCUGCAGGCCACAAAAAGAGGACUCCACACUCUGCCUUUCCCCUGAGAAUGGAAUGAAAAUCAGUUGA